CAGCGAUUGGUCAGCCCAUAGUUUAUAUAGAAGACAGCGCGCUAGCGUAUCGAGUCUAUGUGUCGGCAUGUCUGGUAGCAUCUCUGGCUGCUGUUGACCUUGUUUUUGGAGUAAAACACGGUGGAAGCUGAAUUAGUGAGGAUGACUCCUGCUCCUGUCAUCUCUAAGCUCCUCACACAUCUUUACCUGCACAUGAGGAAAAUCACUCCUGUAGAAUGCAGUGGUUCAUCAGAACCUCUGGGAUGUCCUGUGGAUUCUGUGGAUCCUGUGGGUUGCAGGGUGGGUCCUACCUAGACCAGGCUGAUCCUGGACCAUCCCACAGAUGCUCCAUCAGAUCUGGAUGUGGGGAGUGUGGAACCCAGAUGUUCAGAGGGAGAUGAUGCCACAUCUGGUCCAGCUGAUGGAAGGUCUUGAAGUUCUCUGACUGGCCUCGACUGAAGAUGGUCGUCUCACUGGAUUUAAGAUGCACAAUGAGGGACGUCUGCAGCGACUGAGAAAGAGUCUCACCACAUCCUGACAUGAGGAAAAAGACUUUACUGAAGACUACAAUGAGGAAAACUAUCAGACAGCAGAUGGCUGCAUUCAAGGCUACAGGAGGAGCCCUACGAGGACGAGCCGGUCCACCUGAUGGCGGCCAGUCGCUGCGGUUCAAAGCCAACACCGACUACGUGGACUUCUACUGGACCACACGGAGGCCUUCAAACCGGACCAACAAGUUCAGCGACUCCCCGACUCGUGGGUCUGAGGACGCCGCCGAGCCUCGGCCCAGCCGGCCUCCUGUCUGUGGGUGUUUGAGUGCUGAGAGGUUUGUGGAUGCAUGUGAACAUGUCUGUGUUGAAACAGCAGCUUUGGACUCAGUAACGCCGGGAAAAACCAAGAGCUCCUUUAUUUGUGACUUCCACUAAAAAAACCUGAUGAAAAUAAGUUUGCCAGGGUUCUGACUGAUAACAGGU
ensembl:lncRNA